rnacentral:rRNA from 1 species
GAUGAACGCUGGCGGCGUGCCUAAUACAUGCAAGUCGAGCGAAGGGACGAGAAGCUUGUUCCUUUGUUGUUAGGGGCGGAGGGGUGAGAAACACGUGGAAACCUUCCUUAAAGGACGGGGAAAAUUUCGGAAAACGGGAGAUAAAACGGGAUAAUAUUUUGAACCGCAUGGUUCAAAGGUGAAAGCCGGCCUUGCUGUAACUAAUGGAUGGUUCCGCGCUGCAUUAGCUGGUUGUUAAGGUAACGGCUUACAAAGGCAACGAUGCAUAGCCGACCUGAGAGGGUGAUCGGCCACACUGGAACUGAGACACGGUCCAGACUCCUACGGGAGGCAGCAGUAGGGAAUCUUCCGCAAUGGGCGAAAGCCUGACGGAGCAACGCCGCGUGUGUGAUGAAGGUCUUCGGAUCGUAAAACUCUGUUAUUAGGGGAGAACAUAUGUGUAAGUAACUGUGCACAUCUUGACGGUACCUAAUCAGAAAGCCACGGCUAACUACGUG